AUCCAGCUAAUGACGAGUCCCAAAUAGGACGAAACGCGCUUUGUCCUGGAU
rfam:Schistosoma mansoni strain Puerto Rico chromosome 2, complete genome